UGAGGUAGACUUGUAGCCAAUGCAAUUAGCAGUCAUAGUGUUAAGAUAUAUCAAGUUAAUUACCAACAUCGAUCGUUUAAUUGGUUCACGAUCAACAAAGUAGCCAUCUCAUUUACUGAAGAAACAGAAUAAUCAAAUUAACUCUAGUGUCCGCGCGUUUCAGUAUUUGCCACAAGAAUUCGCGACUUGUGAGCAUGGCUCAGUUUGCUCUGCGUAACUCGAUUCAAUUGGUAUGCAUGAUAUCAGAGAGAAAAGAUGGAUCUUUCCGGUCCUUCCGUGUUCAUGUAUGCACAAACUGAAGGAAUAAUGAUGAUCAAGAACACAGAUGAAAUCAGAUUAACCAUACUAGUUCAAUCUGCUAAUCAAUUAAUAAUACAACUGCCCUUGCAAAUAUAUGGCAAUAGUUAGCAGCAUGCAUUUGAACCCGGCCUAAAACCACAACUCGAGAUACCAACUCGAUCAUAAGCUCUCAUACGUACUAGCUAACUAGCGCCUUUACCUCAAUCAUGCCCUCGUAAGUCGAUCGUAACUGAGAACCAGAAUAUCACCCUAUUCAAAUUAGUCAGCACAAUAUAAAGGAAACAACUCAAACAAGUAUAUGUGUUUGUACGUAGUUUUCGAUCGCUCCAGAACCAGAACAUGCAUGUCUGCAUACUAAUCAUUGUAAAAGCAAAACUACGUACCAUGUAUAUCAAUCUUCCUUAACUCUCAACCUGUAUAUUUUGUUCCAAUAAUUAACCAGCAUCAGUAGCAUGUAUGCAACAUCAAGAAAUUGGUUCAUCGAUCAGCUCACCGCCCUGGAUGUCAUGAUGAUGAACAAAAUGACAAUCCUCCAGAAAAGAUUUGUGAUGACUUCUAAAUAUAUAUAUUAGUUCUUACAUUUCGGCCUAAUAACAGUCACUGUACUUAUCUGAAGUGUACGUAUUAUCUAGACGUACUCUAGCUAGAUUGUCCCCUCCUAAUUACCUCGAUCAUCUAUACAAUACAUAAUAUCUACAAGUGUAAGAGGUUUCCAUACCCUAUUUCUGUAACUUCAGAGCCUCAGAGAGUCAGAGGUACGAUGCUACGUACCUUCAUCAUCAUCGUCAUCAUGUCAGGCCGGCUUCAUCACCUUCAUGCACAAACAUCUAACAGCUGUAGCUGUAGCAAACUAGAAGAAGACGUACUGAUCACUGCCACCGUACGUACAACCAAACAGGCGAUCGCGCCUAUCUUGUAGUGAAGUUUCCAUACCUCUGUCGUGAGUGUCGUCGCAGACUCGCCGGAUCUAAAUGUUGGCUAGGUAAGCGUACGUCAUGUGAUGAGAUCGAUAGAGCGCAGUAAUGGAUCAUGUAGACCAUCCCCACGAGGCUGGUGAUCGAAGAGCUUGUAAGUUUUAACCCCACGAGGUUUAUAUGUUUCUCCAAGCUAGUACACCUUAAGCUUCUUAUAGUGACAUUAUAUAUAAAGGAAACAUAUGCAUGUUUCUUGUUUUGAAGUUUCGUAUUUGAGAACUGUUUUCAUUAGGGAAAAUUAGCUGUUGAUUAAUGGCUUUAAAUGGUACACAUCCAAAUCAGCUUGUCAAUCCAUCUGUUUUCAUAUGUCUUAAUAAUAUUCUAGUCGAUCCUCUUUGCUUGCAGUAUGAUCAUUUCAUGGGCAAGAGUGACAAGCCCUCCCACGAGACUUUUCAGAGAUUAUUGGCUUCUUGUCCAUUACUUCAGAAAAUGAUAUGCCUAGAAUCCUAGAUGAAUAACAACACGUGCAAGUACGUUGGUGAACAUUUCAAAACUAUUAUCAAGUUUGCAUAGAGAAACAAUGAAAUGAUCGAUCUAGCAUUACUCUUUAUUUUUUUAUAUGAAAUUAAUACAUUCCUUUCGACAGUUAUAGUAAUUCUAAAGUGGUGGACAAUUAAGUUUCAAUAUAUCAAAAUCUGCUAUGCCCAAAGUCGAUCGUAAUUCUAAGUUCGUUACAUAUCUCCGCAACAAAGUGUUUAUCACCAUAACCUAAAUUAGAUAAGCUUUCUCAUUAUCGUCACACCUAAUCAUACCAAACUUAUAACGUACGUUGUUACAUAUCUCCACAACAAAGUCUUGAUCAUCAUAACCAAAAUUCGAUAAACAUUCUGCCUUUCUCGUUAUUGUCA
rnacentral:lncRNA from 1 species